rnacentral:siRNA from 1 species
UCAAGUUGUUCACUCUCAGGCUC